UGGGCCUGAUGCAUACAUCUGUUCAUUUCUUUAUCCUCCCAAAUUCUGUCAAUUCUCUUUUCACCCUUUAGUUUCUCUUCUGCAAAAACGGUCAUCCAUCCACAAGUUCUCUUCCUCUUUUGUAGGUAUUCGGUGGAAACUUCAAUUUCAUUCGCACAUACAGGUUGUCACUGAGACUGACUCAAAAAUCAUAAUGCUUUCAACCAUCGGUCUGGUAAUCUCUCAAAAAUCGAUCACAAUGGUAUAUUUUCUAGAUCCCUAGAGUGUAGCACUAUUGGUGCAAAGAGAAAUUUUAACCUUCGUCUUUAUUGUAUAACAAUGUUGCCUACCGAGAAUGAGUGUAUUAUGUAAGGUGCUGUUAGUUUAAGCUUGCAUAAUUUGAAUUUAUUUUUGUCAUGUUCACAUUGUUUUGUCUUGUUUUAGUGUUUUUCAAGCCUAUAGGCAAUAUAUUUGGGUUAUUUUUGGGUUACAGUAUCAAGAUUUGAGGGAAAAAAGUAGGUUUUAUUCAAAAAGAUUAUUGGGCCCGCUGCA